GGUGGUUCUCCGGUGAUGCACCCUGGAAUCGGGCUCCCUCCUCUCUGGUUCCAGGUGCAUCACCUGAGAACCACA
rfam:Myotis davidii contig190936, whole genome shotgun sequence.